rnacentral:rRNA from 1 species
CGCACGGGUGCGUAACGCGUAUACAACCUACCUUUGGUAGGGGAAUAGCCCAGAGAAAUUUGGAUUAAUAACCCCAUAGUAUAUAGGAAUCUCCUGAUUUUUUAUAUUUAAACAUUUAUGGCCAUUAGAUGGGUAUGCGUCCUAUUAGCUAGUUGGUGUGGUAACGGCACACCAAGGCUACGAUAGGUAGGGGUCCUGAGAGGGAGAUCCCCACACUGGUACUGAGACACGGACCAGACUCCUACGGGAGGCAGCAGUGAGGAAUAUUGGACAAUGGGCGAGAGCCUGAUCCAGCCAUGCCGCGUGCAGGAAGACUGCCCUAUGGGUUGUAAACUGCUUUUACAGAGGAAGAACCACCCCCACGUGUGGGGGUUUGACGGUACUCUGCGAAUAAGGAUCGGCUAACUCCGUG